ensembl:lncRNA
UCUCCUUUAACAGUCCUCCACCUUUUAUUCAAUGUUUUUUUUUUAACACAAUAAAUAGAAAAGUGAAUGAAACCCGGGAAAGCUCAGACAAACACAAGGACAGAUUGAUAAAAAAGCAUGCAGUCAUUUUGUACAUGCAUCAUUGUUAAUAGCUUAAAUAUGUAGUACAUAAGCAACAAGUCCAAAAGCGGAAAUAUUUUAAUUGACAUUUGAAAUGUAUUGUUUACUAUGAACACAAAGAAAAUGUGUUACGUGUGACAAUUUCACUUUUUAAGGAAGACGGUAAAUUCUAAGGCAAGAAAGAAAGCGCAAAAAUGUCACAGUACAUCAGAAAUAACAAUGUCCAUAAGGUUACACUCGCGGUUCAACAAGGCUUUUGUGAACCAAUCACAAACGUUGAAACACAUUGAAACAACAAGUGUACCCGGGGCCCAUGAUACAGUGGAGAAUAAUAUUAAGAGUAUGGUAAUUAUGGCAUGCGUGGUGAAAACUGUGUUUUUACAUUUAUUCAGCGUUGUGUGGAAAGGGCAACAGACCUAAAAUGGCCUUCCUUCGCUGGGUAGUUUCAGGGACAAAUGACGUAAACAUAAAAAAAACUGUUGAAGAUAUUUAGAUAUUUUCCCCUUUUUCUGUUUUGUAAAGUGUACCGUGCCCCGGGAAAAGGUGCUCAAAAAGAUAUCCAUAGAUACUAUCAUCAUCAUCAUCAUCAUCAUCAUCAUCAUCGUCAUCAAAUUAUCAUUAUUAAUAUCAUUAUUAUUAAUGUGACACAACCACAGGCAGGUCCAGGGAAGUCUUUCAGUUCAACCGGAUAUUGCGUUGCUACAUACUCUUUUGGAGAAAGAUUGAUACAUAAAAAAAUAAGUAACUCUUAAAAAGCAAUCUCUCUUGCAGUCUUUAGUUCAAAGUUAAAGCACGGCCCCUUCAAGAACAUCAGUCGCUUGCUCGUGUCACAUAAUAUAGAUUAAUUGUUACACGAGAUGUGUAGCUAAAUGACUCCUAUGUCUACGAUAUGAUGCUUGCAGUUGAGAAACGGUAUUGUUACAGUUCUGCCUUUUACAGAAUAAGCCUAUGCAUAUUAUUGUUGAAUAAUUAACAGUACAUUUAAGCACUUCCUGUUUUUCAGAUAUUCUCAAUUGCCAUGUUUGGUGUGAUUAUUUGUGGUGGGGUAUAUUUGAGUGUGAGAUGAUGACUGAGUGUGUGUGUGUGUGUGUGUGUGUGUGUGUGUGUGUGUGUGUGUGUGUUAGCUGUUCCUCUGGGCCAUCUCUCUCUGGACCGACGUUGAGGAGCCCUGGCUGUCCUCAGCAUCUCCCCCAUCU